rnacentral:lncRNA from 1 species
GGUGCUGGACAUUUGCCUUCUUAUCAGACUGGGCACAUUCCAUGACCAAGUGACCACCUGGGCUGCCUGUCAGGGGCAUCUGUACUCUUCAUCC